rnacentral:rRNA from 1 species
UAGGGAAUCUUGCGCAAUGGGCGAAAGCCUGACGCAGCCAUGCCGCGUGAAUGAUGAAGGUCUUAGGAUUGUAAAAUUCUUUCACCGGGGAAGAUAAUGACGGUACCCGGAGAAGAAGCCCCGGCUAACUUCGUGCCAGCAGCCGCGGUAAUACGAAGGGGGCUAGCGUUGCUCGGAAUUACUGGGCGUAAAGGGCGCGUAGGCGGAUAUCUAAGUUGGGGGUGAAAGCCCGGGGCUCAACCUCGGAAUAGCCUUCAAUACUGGAUAUCUUGAGUUCGGGAGAGGUGAGUGGAAUGCCGAGUGUAGAGGUGAAAUUCGUAGAUAUUCGGCGGAACACCAGUGGCGAAGGCGACUCACUGGCCCGAUACUGACGCUGAGGCGCGAAAGCGUGGGGAGCAAACAGGAUUAGAUACCCUGGUAGUCCACGCCGUAAACGAUGAGUGCUAGUUGUCGGCAUGCAUGCAUGUCGGUGACGCAGCUAACGCAUUAAGCACUCCGCCUGGGGAGUACGGUCGCAAGAUUAAAAACUCAAAUGAAUUGACGGGGGUCAUAGCUGUUUCCUG